CUGGUUGAUUGACGGGUGAAGGGACUGUUAUCGAAAGGUAAUAUGGAUCAAGGUAAAAGACCAAAGGAGCCAUCAGGUGCACAGUUUAGAAAAAGAAGAAAAGAAGAAGAGGAGAAACCGGCAAAGCAUAAAGGUUGAGAAAAGGAAUAUCUUCAGUGAGCGAGGUAAUGUCUUGCAUCCUGUCAACUCUGAUGAGGAGGAGGAUGGCUACGACUCACCCCAUGCAAGGAGGAGAGGUGCCUCGGUGGAUGAAUUCCGCAGAGGCUCAGAGUUAGGCAGACAGCACCAUCAUUACCACUACAACCACAGCGACGAGUACUACACAGAGAGCAGCCGAGGAUCUGACCUGUCUGACAUACUGGAGGAGGACGAGGAAGAUCUUUACUCUGAGAUGCAGCUGGAGGAGGGCCGCAGACACAGUAUCAACUCUCACAACACUCUUAAGGAGCUGCUGGGGCAUUUCAUGUGUUAUCUCCCAUGUGAACAUGCCCGUGUGUUUGUGGCUCUAUUUGACUAUGACCCCCUGUCCAUGGCUCCUAAUCCUGACGCUGCUGACGAGGAGCUGCCAUUCAAGGAAGGCCAGAUCAUCAAGGUGGUACACUGACUCUUCAAAUACCUACACAGAUAUGUUUCAUAUAGACCUCAACC